ACAUAAAAUUUUGUAUAGAAUAGCAAAAAGUGAUUCAAUUUCUACCAUUAUUAUGAUAUUCCAAUACGAUUGAAUACCGGUAAAAUAAAUGGAUUCGGUAUUUAAUCUUUCGAUGAGAUAAAGAACCAAUAAUCAGAAACAAUAUAAAGUGGAUUUCAUUGUUUAGUUCAAAAAAAACAUAGAAGAAAUAUAUUUUUAUCUAUUUUUUUAAUCGAGUUCAUAUAAUACGAUUGAAGUGCAUAAGAAGGUUUAUUAAACAUACGCAGACAUAACUAUAAUUAUUUAUAGUUAUACGCCUCUUCUUUUACUGCAGUUCUAUUUUUGACAGCGCAUGUCAUGCUCUAUCAAAAUUUCUAUUCAAUUUUUGAUUGAAUAGAAAUUUUCCUAUAGGAAUCAUAGACAGAUAAGAUAUCAGAUUAUAUAUCUGUGUAAAAUUUUCUGUUCUAGGGUUUACAUAUACUCAUAAUUGUUGUUAUAAUUGAAAUUGAGAAGAAUUUUUUUUAUUGAAAGGAAUCAAUACUGAUGGGUUACGUAUCAAUUUUCUUAUAUCAUUAGGAUUAGGGAAAUACUAUUUUAGAUUCAAAUACAAGAAUCGUUCAUGAAUUCACAGUCAAAUAGUUAAUGGUUCCAAUUUGUCCUUAAAAAGAAAAAAAAAAAGAGGGGGGAUAUUUUCGUCUAUUUUGUGUUGCCUUGGCGGCAUGGCCGAGCGGUAAGGCGGGGGACUGCAAAUCCUUUUUCCCCAGUUCAAAUCCGGGUGUCGCCUGAUCAACAAAAGGCGCAAAAUGCUUUAUUCCCUUUUGCUGAUAUAACUUGUCGAACUUUCCCCCAACAGGAGCACGCGAAGGAAAGGACAUCUUGAUACUUCCUUGAUUCUAAACAUCGGAAAAUUCUGUUCUCUAAAGUGCUGUAAAUUCUUGCAUCUAGGAUUCGGGGAAAGUUUAUAGUGAUGAAAGGGAAUCGGUAAAUCUUGAUAUAAUAGUCCUUCCACCACUAAUGCAGUGUUUACUGACUGAGUCUUGAAUUAGAUUGGAUAGCGGGGCAGGGAAUCUAAUUAGUAGUUGUUGAAAGGGUGAAAGGUCUUUUGUAUACAAACUCAUGAGAAUUCCUGAGUACUCAGGAAUUCAAUCAGUCAAAUAGUGAUUGAAUAGAUAAUUGGCUUUUACUUAUACAUAUCUAUUUUUUUUCUUACAUUUUAGUAACACUUUCUUGAUACUUCCAAGGGUCUUGCUGCCUAUUUUGUUUGUACUAAAAGUUUUUCGAUUCUAUUAGCAAUCAUAUAAGAACUUCUUAGAAUUAAUUGGAUUUUUUGGAUUGUUUCAUCAAUAUAUUGAACAGAAUCUUUUUUUUUGACUCUGCGCCAGCGAUUCUACUAUUAUUAGUGAACAAUAAUGGAAAAAUUCCUUCAUAUUCAUAGAGAUAGAGGACAUAAUUCACAUGGAUAUAGUAAGUCUCGCUUGGGCUGCUUUAAUGGUAGUCUUUACAUUUUCCCUUUCACUCGUAGUAUGGGGAAGAAGUGGACUCUAGGGUACUACUAAUUGAGUUGAGAAAUCAAACUGUAUCAACUGUUUUAUAGAUCAUUUUGCAAAGAUUUUUGAAUUUAACUGUUUAUGUUUAAAUUUAAUUUAAUUAUUUAAUUCUAUUUAAUUCAAUUUCUAAAUUCUUACAAAUUUAGAAAUUGAAUUAAAAAUAUCUUCAAUCCAAAAUUCUAUUGGAUUCGAGUGAAGUAAUAUAUUCUAUGAAUAGAAUAAUAUAUGAAUAAUACCCUUUUAAUCAUAAUCAAACAAAUAUUUCAAUGAUUCUCGUGUUCAUAUUUCGAAAGUAAAAGGAAUACAAAUGAUAGGAAAUUUAUUCCAACAAAAUUAUUCCUAAAUUUUCUAUUUUGAGAAAUAUGAACAAUGAAGAAGAGCGAACCCCCUCCCUUUUUUUUAUUUGUUUGCCUUUUUCCUGUUCAAAUUCAAAGAGAAAACAAUAUUAAAUAUUAAAAAUGAUUAAAUUAAGUGAAUUUUCUAUGAGAAAUAAGAUAGACAUAGUGAUUCUCCAAUGAGAUACUACGCAUACUAAGAUAUUUUCUUGCUUCGUGCUUAGUUUAGUAUUUGUUUUAUUAUUUUAUAAAUUGGAUUUAUGCUAUACCUUAUUGACUUGACUUAUUUCAUAUCAUGAUUCAAAGGUUAAAAAUCGGCAGGGUUUGCUAGUUUACUAAUCCUUUUUGUUGAAAUCUGAAAAAAGUUUUUAUAGAACUCCUUUCCUUGGAUGAUCUGUCAACUGCUCAAUCAAUUACUUAUUCGAAAUGUUAAAAAUAAAAAAAAAAAAAGAUUUCUUGAUUUUCUUUUAUUAAUAUUUGUUCCGAUUUAUUCCUUUUGAUUGAUUUUAGUCUUUCGGUAAAUGCCGGGAUUCAUAUUGAAAAUAAUAAGAAAUCUAGGAAUUAGAAUCGUAAAAGUACGAGUAAGAGUUGCCUUUCGACUCUUUUAGAUUAAUUGGAAUCAACACAAAUCAAAUAGAUGAAGAAAUAGAAUUCAAAUAGAUGAAGAAAUAGAAUUGGGACGUUAUAUACAUUACAUAGAUAAUUAAUAUCUAGAUAUAUAAAUACUAGAUAUAUAAAUAUAAGAUGAUAUUAUAGAUUAAUCUAUAUUUAUAUUAAGCCUAUAUCUUUAUACAGUAAAAACUUUAUACACUAGAAUAACAAAUAAGGAUAGUAUGAUAGAUUUCUUUCUAUCAUACUAUCGGAUCUCAUAGAAUACUGCUAAUUCUAGUCCCUUCCUUUCAUCUAAAACGCAAAAUAGGAAUCCUUUUCAAUGAUUGAAGAAAAAAACUUUUCAUUUUUUUUCUUCAAUCAUUGAUAUUGAUAAGAACUAAGAAGUCAAGUUUCAUUCAAAUUAAUCACCUUGACUAACUGUUUUUACGUAUAUUAUAAGUAAAAAAGCAGUAGGAACUAGAAUGAACAGUGCAGUAGCAAUAAAUGCAAGAAUAUUUACUUCCAUAAUCUCAUCGUUUCGUUUUUCUUUACUUCGCAAUAACUCGGGAUUUAAUCCCAUAGAGAUAAUAAAUCUUUCGCCUCUAAAUUCAAUGGGAUAAAUUCCAUCUCGAUGAUAUCGAGUCUGAUCAAUAUCAUGAAUAACAAUAUCUGAGCUAUCAAAUCGAUUCAUCGUCGAGAAUUGAAUAGUAUAACAUAGAAAGAUCUUUUAUCCAUACCGAAUUCAAAAAAUGGAUUCUUGAUUCAAUUGAUAAUUUCUUUACUUUACUUUAUUUUUAUUUAUCAUAUUCUUUCUUUUCUAUAAAAAUCAAAAUUUCGCCUUCUUUGUACAAUCAUCUGACGAAGACCCACCUUUACACUUACAUUGGUUACAACCAAACCAAAACAAACAAUAGGAGCAAAACGGGGAAGGGGGCGUUAAGUUAUAAAUUCCUUUUUUAAUGAUCUAAUCUUAUUGGAAAACAAAAAAAUGUGAUCAAGUCCCAAUAUAGAAUAUAGUAUAAACAAAUCGAAUAUUUUACCAAAUUCAUUUUUUAGGAUUUGUUUUUUUUCAGCAAAAAUCCUUAAAAAAAAAUUAUUCAUUCCCUCUCUAAUAGAAGUGGGAUCCUUAUUUUUAUUUGAUCUUUAUUUUAUUAAUAUCCCCCUUCUUUGGUAAUGAAAUGCAUAGAAUAUAUUAAAACUUCAAUGCGCAAUUUGAAUGAGAUAGAUUGUUUCAAAUUCAAAUUUGUAAUUGAGAUUACACAAAAUUGGAACCAAAAAAAAGAGACUUUUCGGAUUAAAAGAAAAGGAUUCUAUCAAAGCAAUUAAAUUACUUUUGUAUCGUACAAAUAAAAAUUCCAUUUGUGUACGUGCUACCGGAAAAGAUACGGUACUUGAUUCGAUUUCGGUCGGGAGUAAUCGAAAAAUCCAAACUCAGUAUAGUAUCUUUUGGAAUCUUGAAUAUGACGCUACCAAAAAUUAUACUAAUCCACAUAUGUCUCUAUCAAUCAGUACUAGUUGAAAAAAUGAAAAUUUCCAUAUUUGUAUUGACUUUGAUGAGAAAUGAAAAACGAAAAAAAAAAAUAAAUAUAAAUAAGAAUAAAAUUAAGAAUAAUAAGGAUCCCCUUGGGAAUGAAAUUGUGCUAUUUGCCCCCUUCGCCGAAAGGGGAGAGAUGAAUUGAUGUAUUUUUUUAUUAGAUUAUUGGAUUUUGAUCCGUCGGGACUGACGGGGCUCGAACCCGCAGCUUCCGCCUUGACAGGGCGGUGCUCUGACCAAUUGAACUACAAUCCCGGGGAAAUGCAAUAAAGUGUACAGCAUACAUAUUCUUAUGAUUUCAUUCAAACCUUUAUACUAUAUUAGAUUUUAUAUUGGAAUUGUCGCGUUGUAACAGAAACGGGAGUGGUAUACUGAUAUCCACAUGGAUAUUCACUUUAGUGAGAAAAAGUGAUAAAAGGGACAGGGGUUACUAGUCAUCUUUUCGUUAUUUCAAAUCAAAGUCGAUUGAUAAUAAAAAAAUCUUUCAAUGAAAAAAGACUCUUUUUUUCUUUCAAUUAUUCUUUUUCUUAGACUUUAUACUUACAAAUCCUGAUCUGAAUCUAGAUCAUUAGCAAGAUCAUAAUUUGUGAGAAAAAAAAAGAAAGCAAAUCAAAUAAAGAACAGGUAGAGAUAUAUCACAAAUUUUGAAUUUUUUUCCGUAUCAGGCAUUUCGAGAGAACAAAGGGGUUAUAUCAUUUCAUGGCGGAUCAGUGAAUUAUUGGGCCGAGCUGGAUUUGAACCAGCGUAGACAUAUUGCCAACGAAUUUACAGUCCGUCCCCAUUAACCGCUCGGGCAUCGACCC
rnacentral:lncRNA from 1 species